rnacentral:rRNA from 1 species
UACGUAGGGUGCAAGCGUUGUCCGGAAUUACUGGGCGUAAAGAGUUCGUAGGCGGUUUGUCGCGUCGUUUGUGAAAACCAGCAGCUCAACUGCUGGCUUGCAGGCGAUACGGGCAGACUUGAGUACUGCAGGGGAGACUGGAAUUCCUGGUGUAGCGGUGAAAUGCGCAGAUAUCAGGAGGAACACCGGUGGCGAAGGCGGGUCUCUGGGCCGAUACUGACACUGAGGAGCGAAAGCGUGGGGAGCGAACAGG